GGCUGCCGUCCAACGGCAACACGGGUAUCGGGGAGGGGUGUUAGUAGAAGUGCAGUUCGCCUACUUCAGAUGUGCUGUGAACAGAACAGAAGGAAGUGGUACGUACUGUUGCGCCGUACUCCUCGUGUCUUAGCGAUGCAGCACGGGCCAUGAUGGGCAACAACCCUCCAGCGCUCUUGGUCCCCCCGGGGCACCAGGCAGACUCCAGGUCCAAUCCGCAGGUGGUUAGGAAAAGAAAAGAGAAGAGGGAGGAGGUAGAGAGAUGAAGAGAGGAGCUGGAAGAAGAAAUCGGGAGAGAGAAGACUAUUUGGCGAUUUCUAAUCGCUGAUAGAUCUUGGCUUUUUCCUUUUCAUUGUUUCUGGAGUCAUUGGGUAGCUGGAUGAACUCGGGACGGAAUUGGCCAAUUUUACACACUUUCAGCCGAAACUGUUCAAUUUCUCCCUCUGAAAUGAUUUAUAUACAUUUGCCAUAAGCAAUUUGAGUCUAACAACUUUUGUACAGAGGUUACACUCUCUGAUAAAUGGAUUUUUGCUGCUUAGUCAUUUUGUUUAUUAGAGUUAAUGCAACACAAUUCUUGAAACAUUUGUCACAAAUUAAUUUUGUGCAAUUUUGCAUGCAGUUAACUGAAAUUUGUAAAACAGAAGUUUACCUAAUCAAUUUUAGUUGUGACAUGAAUACAUUUUGUUGGCCUGUAUUGUUGAUGUGUUUGCUCCUUUGCCCUCAGCUUGCCCGAUAUUAAUUUCAAAUUAAAAAAAAAAAAAAUUAUUUGUGACAAAAUUAACUGGCUAGAACCUGUUAAAUAAAUUAAUUAGUGCUGUUAAUCGAUUUAAAAAAUUAACUAAUCACAUUUUUUCUGUGAUUAAUCGCAAUUAAUCACACCUAACAUUAAAGUUUUUAUAUAUAUUUAUAUUGCAAUUUAA